UACAGAGGGGGCAAGCGUUGUUCGGAAUUACUGGGCGUAAAGGGCGCGUAGGCGGCCUUCUAAGUCGAACGUGAAAUCCCCGGGCUCAACCCAGGAACAUGCGUCCGAUACUGGAGGGCUCGAAUCCGGGAGAGGGAUGUGGAAUUCCAGGUGUAGCGGUGAAAUGCGUAGAUAUCUGGAGGAACACCGGUGGCGAAGGCGGCAUCCUGGACCGGUAUUGACGCUGAGGCGCGAAAGCCAGGGGAGCAAAGCGGG
rnacentral:rRNA from 1 species